rnacentral:rRNA from 1 species
CCUACGGGCGCAGCAGUGAGGAAUAUUGGUCACUGGGCGCGUGCCUGAACCAGCCAAGUAGCGUGAAGGAUGACUGCCCUACUGGUUGUAACCUUCUUUUAUAAAGGAAUAAAGUGAGGCACGUGUGCCUUUUUGUCUGUACUUUAUGAAUAAGGCUCGGCUAACUCCGUGCCAGCAGCCUCGGUAAUACGGUGGAUCCGAGCCUUAUCCGGAUUUAUUUGGUUUAAAGGGAGCGUAGAUGGGUUGGUAAGUCAGUUGUGAAAGUUUGCGGCUCAACCGUAAAAUUGCAAUUGAUACUGGCAGUCUUGAGUACAGUUGAGGUAGGCGGAAUUCGUGGUGUAGCGGUGAAAUGCUUAGAUAUCACGAAGAACUCCGAUUGCGAAGGCAGCUUACUAAACUGCCACUGACAUUGAUGCUCGAAAGUGUGGGUAUCAAACAGGAUUAGAGACCCUGGUAGUC